UUUAGAAUGGCCUCAAUUUGACAUAAGC
rnacentral:piRNA from 1 species